rnacentral:rRNA from 1 species
AACGAACGCUGGCGGCAUGCCUAACACAUGCAAGUCGAACGAGACCUUCGGGUCUAGUGGCGCACGGGUGCGUCACGCGUGGGAACCUGCCCUUAGGCUCGGAAUAACUCUCCGUAAGGGGUGCUAAUACCGGAUAAUGUCUUCGGACCAAAGAUUGAUCGCCUUUGGAUGGGCCCGCGUUGGAUUAGCUGGUAGGUAGGGUAAAAGCCUACCAAGGCGACGAUCCAUAGCUGGUAUGAGAGGAUGGUCAGCCACACUGGGGCAGGGACACGGCCCGGACACCGGCGGAUGGGAGCAAGGGGGAUCCAGGGACAACGCGCGAAUGAAGAAGGCAGCAGGGCCGCAUAGGUGUUGUGGGCGUUAGGAAAAUAAGGCGCUUAUACCCGGGAUGUUAAGGACGGAACCAAAAGAAUAGGCUCGGGCAAAUUCGUG